AAGCGUAAGGAUUAGAGAGACUUUGACAACGGCCAAAUUGUGAUGGCUAGAUGACUGGGUCAGAGCAUCUUUA